rnacentral:rRNA from 1 species
UACGUAGGGGGCAAGCGUUAUCCGGAUUUACUGGGUGUAAAGGGAGCGUAGACGGAUGGACAAGUCUGAUGUGAAAGGCUGGGGCUCAACCACGGGACUGCAUUGGAAACUGCCCGUCUUGAGUGCCGGAGAGGUAAGCGGAAUUCCUAGUGUAGCGGUGAAAUGCGUAGAUAUUAGGAGGAACACCAGUGGCGAAGGCGGCUUACUGGACGGUAACUGACGUUGAGGCUCGAAAGCGUGGGGAGCAAACAGG